rnacentral:RNase_P_RNA from 1 species
GUAGUCAGUCGGUCUGUCGCUUUUUAGAAAUUAAAGAGAGGAAAGUCCGGACAACACAGAGUACCUUACUAUCUAACAGAUAGCUGUUUGUGAAAGCAGAGUUAAGUAGAAGAAAAUAACCGCCGUUUUUUCCGUUCUCAUGGAGUGGGUAAUCCGGUAAGGGUGAGAAGGUAAGGUAAGAGCUUACCGGUUCUUAUAGCAAUAUAGGAAGCCGUACAACUUAAGGGUUGCAAGGUCAUGUACACCGGCGCAUGUAGGACUACUCGUCCGAUGCCGGGGGGUGGACUGCUUGAAUUUAAUGGCGACAUUAAAUCCAGAUAAAUGACAGUCGUUCCGGUUUUCCGGAAUACAGAAUCCGGCUUAUAGAUUGACUAUGAAA